CGGGUCAAGCCGGAUCCUGGGCUGUGUCCCCGGUGCCCUGUGCUCCAGAGCCUGCGCUGUUGGAUUCGCUCUCCCAGCCAUGCCGGAGCCC
rnacentral:pre_miRNA from 1 species